rnacentral:rRNA from 1 species
GUCUAUGGUCAUGCCACCCUGAACAAGCGCAAUCCUGUCUGGUCCUGGAAGCUAAGCAAGGUUGGGUCUGGUUAGAACUUGCAUGGGAGACCACCUAGGAAGACCAGGUGCUGUAGGUG